UGGGGAAUAUUGCACAAUGGAGGGAACUCUGAUGCAGCGACGCCGCGUGAACGAAGAAGGCUUUCGAGUCGUAAAGUUCUUUUAUAUGGGAAGAUAAUGACGGUACCAUAAGAAAAAGCCCCGGCUAACUACGUGCCAGCAGCCGCGGUAAUACGUAGGGGGCUAGCGUUGUCUGGAAUCACUGGGCGUAAAGGGUUCGCAGGCGGAAAUGCAAGUCAGGUGUAAAAGGCAGUAGCUUAACUACUGUAAGCAUUUGAAACUGCAUAUCUUGAGAAGAGUAGAGGUAAGUGGAAUUUUUAGUGUAGCGGUGAAAUGCGUAGAUAUUAAAAAGAAUACCGGUGGCGAAGGCGGCUUACUGGGCUCAUUCUGACGCUGAGGAACGAAAGCGUGGGUAGCAAACAGG
rnacentral:rRNA from 1 species